GAGCCAUUCCCUCCCAGCUCAGCAUCCGCUCUGCCUGGACAGUUAGGCUUCAGUCAUACCUCCCGCCUUCCAACAAGUGCCUCAGCCCGGGGUCAUCGUUUCAAUGCCCAUCUGUCGCUGUGUGAGAAGGGGGACCUUGGCAAGGACCAUGCCAUCUGUGCCCAGCACCCCACGCAGAGCCUGAGAUACACAGACAAUGUACCAGAAACUGGAGGAGUGGGGAGCAUCCGGGAAGGUUAAUCCUGAAGAUCUCCAAAGACCAUGAAACCACCAAAAUAUGCCCAGGGGAUCUGAGCUUCUAAGGGAACAGAGAUACAGGUUCUUGGUGACCUCACCUUUGACCAACAAUUUACUGGCACUGGCUCAGGCUGCCAAGCGGAGCAGAGGGGGAGGAAGAGGAGGGUAAACAGCAGGUGAGGCCAAAGGUGGCUCUGGAAGGCAAGGGGCACAUUCCAAAAAGUCUCCCCAGCCUGAGGCCUGCAGCAGAGCCCAAAGUCCGAUAGCAACUCACACCUGCAUUCCAGCCAUCCAGAGAGGCCAUAAAUACCUGAGAACCCACCAGAAAGGAUGCUUUUGGCAGCCUGGGAAUUCAUCCCCACCCCGCCUCCGCCCAUUCCCCAAGUGUCCCCUGCUCCAAGAGGCCUUCCAGAUUCUUCAAGGAGCAGAGGACUGGGCAUGACCUCCCACCGCCUCCUCCUUUUC